rnacentral:rRNA from 1 species
AGUGAACGCUGGCGGUAGGCCUAACACAUGCAAGUCGAACGGCAGCACAGUAAGAGCUUGCUCUUACGGGUGGCGAGUGGCGGACGGGGGAGGAAUACAUCGGAAUCUACUUUUUCGUGGGGGAUAACGUAGGGAAACUUACGCCAAUACCGCAUACGACCUACGGGUGAAAGGAGGGGAUCUUCGGACCUUGCGCGAAUGAAUUCGCCGAUGUCGGAUUAGCUAGUUGGCGGGGUAAAGGCCCACCAAGGCGACGAUCCGUAGCUGGUCUGAGAGGAUGAUCAGCCACACUGGAACUGAGACACGGUCCAGACUCCUACGGGAGGCAGCAGUGGGGAAUAUUGGACAAUGGGCGCAAGCCUGAUCCAGCCAUACCGCGUGGGUGAAGAAGGCCUUCGGGUUGUAAAGCCCUUUUGUUGGGAAAGAAAAGCAGCAGGUUAAUACCCCGCUGUUCUGACGGUACCCAAAGAAUAAGCACCGGCUAACUUCGUG